AUGCCACAAAGGGCAAAACUAACCAGGUCCUUCUGCCAUGAAUCUUCCUUUUUCCUUCUCUUUUUCUCGCUUGCAAACUUUGCUUUAAAACUUUGCCGCCCUUCCGCCGCGGCAGCCAUCGGCAAGCAGCCGCCAUGGCCCAUGGCCGUGGGCCUCAACUGGGGCCACAAGGUGACCGCGAACGUGAACAAGCCGAGGCACAGCCACCGCCGCGGGCGCCUGACCAAGCGCACCAAGUUCGUGCGGGACAUGAUGCGGGAGGAGUGUGGCUUCGGCCCCUCUGAGCGGCGCGCCAUGGAACCGCUCAAGGUCUCCAAGGCCAAGCGGGCCCUCAAGUUCAUCGAGAAACGGAUGGGGACGCACAUCCGCGCCAAGGGGAAGCACCAGGAGCUGAGCGACGUGCUGGCUGCCAUGAGGAAGGCGGCGGCCAAGAAGGACUGA